CCUACGGGAGGCAGCAGUGAGGAAUAUUGGUCAAUGGGCGGGAGACUGAACCAGCCAAGCCGCGUGAGGGAUGAAGGUACAGAGUAUCGUAAACCUCUUUAGUCAGGGAACAAAGGCGGGGACGUGUCCCCGGAUGAGUGUACCUGAAGAAAAAGCAUCGGCUAACUCCAUGCCAGCAGCCGCGGUAAUACGGUGGAUGCGAGCGUUGUCCGGUUUUAUGGGGUUUAAAGUUGGCGCGGGCGGGUUGUUAAGUCAACGGUCAAACGACGGGGCUCAACCCCGGCCCGGCGUUGAAACUGGCAGUCUCGAGGUGGCGAGAAGUAUGCGGAAUGCGCGGGG
rnacentral:rRNA from 1 species